rnacentral:rRNA from 1 species
GAUGAACGCUGGCGGCGUGCCUAAUACAUGCAAGUCGAGCGAACAGACGAGGAGCUUGCUCCUCUGACGUUAGCGGCGGACGGGUGAGUAACACGUGGAUAACCUACCUAUAAGACUGGGAUAACUUCGGGAAACCGGAGCUAAUACCGGAUCAUAUAUUGAACCGCAUGGUUCAAUAGUGAAAGCCGGUUUUGCUGUCACUUAUAGAUGGAUCCGCGCCGCAUUAGCUAGUUGGUAAGGUAACGGCUUACCAAGGCAACGAUGCGUAGCCGACCUGAGAGGGUGAUCGGCCACACUGGAACUGAGACACGGUCCAGACUCCUACGGGAGGCAGCAGUAGGGAAUCUUCCGCAAUGGGCGAAAGCUUGACGGAGCAACGCCGCGUGAGUGAUGAAGGUCUUCGGAUCGUAAAACUCUGUUAUUAGGGAAGAACAAAUGUGUAAGUAACUAUGCACGUCUUGACGGUACCUAAUCAGAAAGCCACGGCUAACUACGUG